GACGAACGCUGGCGGCGUGCUUAACACAUGCAAGUCGAACGGAAAGGCCCUUCGGGGUACUCGAGUGGCGAACGGGUGAGUAACACGUGGGUGAUCUGCCCUGCACUUUGGGAUAAGCCUGGGAAACUGGGUCUAAUACCGAAUAUGAUCAUCGGCUUCAUGGUCGGUGGUGGAAAGCUUUUGCGGUGUGGGAUGGGCCCGCGGCCUAUCAGCUUGUUGGUGGGGUAAUGGCCUACCAAGGCGACGACGGGUAGCCGGCCUGAGAGGGUGACCGGCCACACUGGGACUGAGAUACGGCCCAGACUCCUACGGGAGGCAGCAGUGGGGAAUAUUGCACAAUGGGCGCAAGCCUGAUGCAGCGACGCCGCGUGAGGGAUGACGGCCUUCGGGUUGUAAACCUCUUUCAGCACAGACGAAGCACAAGUGACGGUAUGUGCAGAAGAAGGACCGGCCAACUACGUG
rnacentral:rRNA from 1 species